AUGAAAAAAACUAACAGAUGUCUCCAAAUCACAGCGUGUUGAAUUAGUCUCCCGACCAUUUGAAUCCCAUCCUCAAAUUUCAAUCAAAAUUCGUCAACUUUCCGUCGGAUCCCAAAUGGGGAAAUGGAAUGCUGAUUCCCCAAAAUCUUAAUUUCAAAUUCUUAGGGAUUCCUGAUUUUUCAUGGUUUGAUUCAUCUUUGGAAAAAGGUCGAUCAGGAGAAGCAGCAAUGGCGUGGAACGCGUUCAAGUUAUGUACGGCUCUGCGCGCCCUCGGCUACGUGAUGGUGCUGGUGGUUGUCGCCAUAGUCGGGCUCACCUACUACGCCGUCGUUUUGGUCAAUUAUUUACCUAGCAUCCUUAGCGGAGGCGUCAAUUUCGUCAUUGCCUUCCCUCUCUUGAUCUUGUUCCAUUUUCUGUUGGUGAUGCUGUUGUGGAGCUACUUUAAUGUUGUUCUGACGGAUCCUGGGCGCGUUCCACCAAAUUGGAGGCCUGCAAUUGAUGAGGAGACGGGUGAUGAAGCCCCAUUGGUGGGAUCAGACCAAUCCACCAUGGUCAGUGAUCCAGCAAAUCAAAAAAUACGGUUUUGUCGGAAGUGCAACCACUAUAAACCACCUCGUUGCCAUCAUUGUUCUGUUUGUGGGAGGUGUAUAUUGAAAAUGGACCAUCAUUGCGUUUGGGUGGUCAACUGUGUUGGUGCACUGAAUUACAAGUACUUCCUUCUCUUCUUGUUUUACACAUUUCUUGAGACAACUCUUGUCACCUUAUCAUUAUUCAAGUAUUUUAUGGCAUUUUUACUGAAGAGGAGAUACCGGGAACAUUGGGCACUGUUGCAGCUAGUUUUAUCACAUUUGUUUUGAACUUCGCAUUUGCUUUGAGUGUUUUUGGCUUUAUGAUCAUGCACCUAUCAUUGGUGGCGUCCAAUACCACCACUAUUGAGGCAUACGAGAAGAAAGCCACUACUAAAUGGCAGUAUGACCUUGGUCGGAAGAAAAACUUUGAACAGGUGUUUGGGACGGAUAUGUGGUACUGGUUCAUCCCUGCAUAUUCGGAGGAGGAUUUAAGACGGAUACCAGCUCUCCAGGGUAUUGAUUAUCCAACAAGGCCCGAGUUGAAUGCACUUCAGCCAUUAUAAGUAUUCAUGGUAGCGAAAGGACAAUGUUGCAGUUCUCUCCUCUUAUGCACAUGUAUAGGGGAAGCAGAAAUUUGUGUUUCUUUCGUACAAGGCUCUUUGCUCGUCAACACUGCAUUGACCUGCAUGCACCGGCAGCAGUUCAGAUCAUACUUUUGCUUGGGAGACAUAAUGGCUGGAAGUUAAUUGAGGAUUGGCUCAAUUGGUGAAUUUACGCGCAUAGAUUUUUGGUCGAUACAUUUUAUAUAGUGAUGUAAUGUGUGAUCUCCACGAGGAACGUGAGCAUUUUUCCGUACAACUUGUUCCGUUCCUAAUGUCGUGUGCAGGCUUGUUGAAUUGAUCCUGUGAA